rnacentral:rRNA from 1 species
CAGCAGCCACGGGAAAACGGAGGGAGCUAGCGUUGUUUGGAAUUACUGGGCGUAAAGCGCGCGUAGGCGGUUACUCAAGUCAGAGGUGAAAGCCCGGGGCUCAACCCCGGAACUGCCUUUGAAACUAGGUGACUAGAAUCUUGGAGAGGUCAGUGGAAUUCCGAGUGUAGAGGUGAAAUUCGUAGAUAUUCGGAAGAACACCAGUGGCGAAGGCGACUGACUGGACAAGUAUUGACGCUGAGGUGCGAAAGCGUGGGGAGCAAACAGGAUUAGAUACCCGAGUAGUCCCUGUCUCUUAUAC